rnacentral:rRNA from 1 species
UACGAAGGGGGCGAGCGUUGUUCGGAUUUACUGGGCGUAAAGGGCGCGCAGGCGGCGAUUUUUGUCAGGCGUGAAAGCCCCGGGCUCAACCUGGGAACUGCGCUUGAAACGGGAUUGCUGGAGAUCGGGAGAGGAGAGUGGAAUUCCCAGUGUAGAGGUGAAAUUCGUAGAUAUUGGGAAGAACACCGGUGGCGAAGGCGGCGACCUGGUCCGAUACUGACGCUGAGGCGCGAAAGCGUGGGGAGCAAACAGG